rnacentral:rRNA from 1 species
AUGUGUAUUCCGAAGGAGAGAGGAGGUAUGGGAUUCCGGGAUAUUCAUUGCUUUAACUUGGCAAUGUUGGCAAAGCAGUGUUGGAGACUAAUUGAGAACUUUGGUUCAUUAUGUGCAGGGGUUCUGAGAGCCAAGUACUACCCUACAGGAGAUAUUCUGAAUUGUCAACUGAAGAAGGGGUCGUCCUAUGUGUGGCAAAGCAUUUGGUCUGGAAUUCAAACGUUCAAGAAGGGUUACAUUUGGAGAGUAGGCAAUGGAGAAAAGAUUAAUACAUGGGAUGACUGUUGGAUCCCGAACAGUGCCUCCAAAAAAGUUUUAACAGUAAGGGGGAACUAAGUACUUACUAAAGUGAAUGCAUUAAUUGACCCAAUCACGGGAUAAUGGGAUGAGAUGUUAAUCCGGGAGAAUUUCUGGCACAUUGAUGUUGAGCGUAUACUACAAAUCCCAUUAUUCCAUGUUGAGGCAAAGGACUAUGUUGCAUGGCAUCUCACGAGGAGCGGCGUUUUUUCAGUACGCUCUGCCUAUUAUAAGUAG